rnacentral:rRNA from 1 species
CUACGGGAUGCUCCAGUGGGGAAUAUUGCACAAUGGAGGGAACUCUGAUGCAGCAACGCCGCGUGGAGGAUGACGCAUUUCGGUGUGUAAACUCCUUUUAUAUAGGAAGAUAAUGACGGUACUAUAUGAAUAAGCACCGGCUAACUCCGUGCCAGCAGCCGCGGUAAUACGGAGGGUGCAAGCGUUACUCGGAAUCACUGGGCGUAAAGCGCAUGCAGGCGGUUAAAUAAGUUGGAAGUGAAAUCCUAUGGCUCAACCAUAGAACUGCUUCCAAAACUGUUUGACUAGAGUCUGGGAGGGGAAGAUGGAAUUAGUUGUGUAGGGGUAAAAUCCGUAGAGAUAACUAGGAAUACCAAAAGCGAAGGCGAUCUUCUGGAACAGUACUGACGCUGAGAUGCGAAAGCGUGGGGAGCAAACAGGAUUAGAUACCCGCGUAGUC